rnacentral:tRNA from 1 species
GGCAUUAUAGUUUAGAGGUUAGAACGUUGAUUUCAUACGUCAAAUGCGGAGUUUCGAAUACUCCUUCUGCCAC